CAUCUCAUACCUCCCAUAUUCGCAAUCUCUUGUUGGAUUAAUAGUAACUUUAAAUUUCAAAGGACUGUUAUUCUCCUGUUGCAGUAGCAACUUCAGUAAAAUUAACCAAACCAAAUAGAGAUUUGAUCCUACAUGAAAUUUAUUAUUUUCUUUCAAUUCCUUUUCCUCGUUGGUGCUUGAUGUGACUGCAAUACUUUCCCCAGCAGCACUAUGAAGCACAGUCCUUUCAGCCGUAAUUUGAUCCUACAUCGAAUUUAUUAUUUUCUUUCAAUUCCUUUUCCUCGUUGGUGCUUGAUGUGUCAGUGACUGCAAUACCUUCCCCAGCAGCACUACGAAGCACAGUCCUUUCAACCGUGC
rnacentral:lncRNA from 1 species